GAGGGUAUAGCUCAACUGGGAGAGCGCAUGCUUAGCAUGCACAAGGUCCUGAGUUCAAUCCCUGGUACCUCCU
rnacentral:tRNA from 1 species